rnacentral:rRNA from 1 species
UCAAGUGAAGAAGCGCAUACGGUGGAUGCCUUGGCAGUCAGAGGCGAUGAAAGACGUGGUAGCCUGCGAUAAGCUUCGGGGAGUCGGCAAACAGACUUUGAUCCGGAGAUCUCUGAAUGGGGGAACCCACCUAGGAUAACCUAGGUAUCUUGUACUGAAUCCAUAGGUGCAAGAGGCGAACCAGGGGGAACUGGAAACAUCUAAGUACCCUGAGGAAAAGAAAUCAACCGAGAUUCCCUUAGUAGUGGCGAGCGAACGGGGAUUAGCCCUUAAGCUUCAUUGAUUUUAGCGGAACGCUCUGGAAAGUGCGGCCAUAGUGGGUGAUAGCCCUGUACGCGAAAGGAUCUUUGAAGUGAAAUCGAGUAGGACGGAGCACGAGAAACUUUGUCUGAACAUGGGGGGGACCAUCCUCCAAGGCUAAAUACUACUGACUGACCGAUAGUGAACCAGUACCGUGAGGGAAAGGCGAAAAGAACCCCGGAGAGGGGAGUGAAAUAGAACCUGAAACCGUAUGCGUACAAGCAGUGGGAGCCUACUUGUUAGGUGACUGCGUACCUUUUGUAUAAUGGGUCAGCGACUUAUAUUCAGUGGCGAGCUUAACCGAAUAGGGUAGGCGUAGCGAAAGCGAGUCUUAAUAGGGCGUUUAGUCGCUGGGUAUAGACCCGAAACCGGGCGAUCUAUCCAUGAGCAGGUUGAAGGUUAGGUAACACUGACUGGAGGACCGAACCCACUCCCGUUGAAAAGGUAGGGGAUGACUUGUGGAUCGGAGUGAAAGGCUAAUCAAGCUCGGAGAUAGCUGGUUCUCCUCGAAAGCUAUUUAGGUAGCGCCUCAUGUAUCACUCUGGGGGGUAGAGCACUGUUUCGGCUAGGGGGUCAUCCCGACUUACCAAACCGAUGCAAACUCCGAAUACCCAGAAGUGCCGAGCAUGGGAGACACACGGCGGGUGCUAACGUCCGUCGUGAAAAGGGAAACAACCCAGACCGCCAGCUAAGGUCCCAAAGUUGUGGUUAAGUGGUAAACGAUGUGGGAAGGCUUAGACAGCUAGGAGGUUGGCUUAGAAGCAGCCAUCCUUUAAAGAAAGCGUAAUAGCUCACUAGUCGAGUCGGCCUGCGCGGAAGAUGUAACGGGGCUCAAACCACACACCGAAGCUGCGGGUGUCACGUAAGUGACGCGGUAGAGGAGCGUUCUGUAAGCCUGUGAAGGUGAGUUGAGAAGCUUGCUGGAGGUAUCAGAAGUGCGAAUGCUGACAUGAGUAACGACAAUGGGUGUGAAAAACACCCACGCCGAAAGACCAAGGGUUCCUGCGCAACGUUAAUCGACGCAGGGUUAGUCGGUUCCUAAGGCGAGGCUGAAAAGCGUAGUCGAUGGGAAACAGGUUAAUAUUCCUGUACUUCUGGUUACUGCGAUGGAGGGACGGAGAAGGCUAGGCCAGCUUGGCGUUGGUUGUCCAAGUUUAAGGUGGUAGGCUGAAAUCUUAGGUAAAUCCGGGGUUUCAAGGCCGAGAGCUGAUGACGAGUCGUCUUUUAGAUGACGAAGUGGUUGAUGCCAUGCUUCCAAGAAAAGCUUCUAAGCUUCAGGUAACCAGGAACCGUACCCCAAACCGACACAGGUGGUCGGGUAGAGAAUACCAAGGCGCUUGAGAGAACUCGGGUGAAGGAACUAGGCAAAAUGGCACCGUAACUUCGGGAGAAGGUGCGCCGGCUAGGGUGAAGGAUUUACUCCGUAAGCUCUGGCUGGUCGAAGAUACCAGGCCGCUGCGACUGUUUAUUAAAAACACAGCACUCUGCAAACACGAAAGUGGACGUAUAGGGUGUGACGCCUGCCCGGUGCCGGAAGGUUAAUUGAUGGGGUUAGCGCAAGCGAAGCUCUUGAUCGAAGCCCCGGUAAACGGCGGCCGUAACUAUAACGGUCCUAAGGUAGCGAAAUUCCUUGUCGGGUAAGUUCCGACCUGCACGAAUGGCGUAACGAUGGCGGCGCUGUCUCCACCCGAGACUCAGUGAAAUUGAAAUCGCUGUGAAGAUGCAGUGUAUCCGCGGCUAGACGGAAAGACCCCGUGAACCUUUACUGUAGCUUUGCACUGGACUUUGAGCCUGCUUGUGUAGGAUAGGUGGGAGGCUUUGAAGCGUGGACGCCAGUUCGCGUGGAGCCAUCCUUGAAAUACCACCCUGGCAUGCUUGAGGUUCUAACUCUGGUCCGUGAUCCGGAUCGAGGACAGUGUAUGGUGGGCAGUUUGACUGGGGCGGUCUCCUCCUAAAGAGUAACGGAGGAGUACGAAGGUGCGCUCAGACCGGUCGGAAAUCGGUCGCAGAGUAUAAAGGCAAAAGCGCGCUUGACUGCGAGACAGACACGUCGAGCAGGUACGAAAGUAGGUCUUAGUGAUCCGGUGGUUCUGUAUGGAAGGGCCAUCGCUCAACGGAUAAAAGGUACUCCGGGGAUAACAGGCUGAUACCGCCCAAGAGUUCAUAUCGACGGCGGUGUUUGGCACCUCGAUGUCGGCUCAUCACAUCCUGGGGCUGAAGCCGGUCCCAAGGGUAUGGCUGUUCGCCAUUUAAAGUGGUACGCGAGCUGGGUUUAGAACGUCGUGAGACAGUUCGGUCCCUAUCUGCCGUGGACGUUUGAGAUUUGAGAGGGGCUGCUCCUAGUACGAGAGGACCGGAGUGGACGAACCUCUGGUGUUCCGGUUGUCACGCCAGUGGCAUUGCCGGGUAGCUAUGUUCGGAAAAGAUAACCGCUGAAAGCAUCUAAGCGGGAAACUUGCCUCAAGAUGAGAUCUCACUGGGAACUUGAUUCCCCUGAAGGGCCGUCGAAGACUACGACGUUGAUAGGCUGGGUGUGUAAGCGUUGUGAGGCGUUGAGCUAACCAGUACUAAUUGCCCGUGAGGCUUGACCAU